UGCAAGUCGAACGGUAAGGCCCCUUCGGGGGUACACGAGUGGCGCACGGGUGAGUAACGCGUAUGCAACCUGCCCUGUACAGGGGGAUAGCCCGGAGAAAUCCGGAUUAAUACCCCAUAGUUUUUAUGAGUCGCAUGGCUUAUAAAAUAAAGUUUCGGCGGUACAGGAUGGGCAUGCGUGGCAUUAGCUAGUUGGUAAGGUAACGGCUUACCAAGGCGACGAUGCCUAGGGGUUCUGAGAGGAUGAUCCCCCACACUGGGAUUGAGACACGGCCCAGACUCCUACGGGAGGCAGCAGUGAGGAAUAUUGGUCAAUGGGCGAGAGCCUGAACCAGCCAUCCCGCGUGCAGGAUGACGGCCCUACGGGUUGUAAACUGCUUUUAUGUACCAAGAAUGUGUUCUACGUGUAGGAUUUUGACGGUAGUACAUGAAUAAGCAUCGGCUAACUCCGUGCCAGCAGCCGCGGUAAUACGGAGGAUGCAAGCGUUAUCCGGAUUCAUUGGGUUUAAAGGGUGCGUAGGCGGCUAUAUAAGUCAGUGGUGAAAUGCUGCAGCUCAACUGUAGAACUGCCAUUGAAACUGUAUAGCUUGAGUGCGCCUGAGGUAGGCGGAAUGAGUAGUGUAGCGGUGAAAUGCUUAGAUAUUACUCAGAACACCGAUUGCGAAGGCAGCUUACUAAAGCGUAACUGACGCUGAUGCACGAAAGCGUGGGGAGCGAACAGGAUUAGAUACCCUGGUAGUCCACGCCGUAAACGAUGAUAACUCGCUGUUGGCGAUACACAGUCAGCGGUCUUAGCGAAAGCAUUAAGUUUAUCCACCUGGGGAGUACGACCGCAGGUUUGAAACUCAAGGAAUUGACGGGGGCCCGCACAAGCGGAGGAACAUGUGGUUUAAUUCGAUGAUACGCGAGGAACCUUACCUGGGCU
rnacentral:rRNA from 1 species